ACGAGAGACUGCCGGGGUUAACUCGGAGGAAGGUGGGGAUGACGUCAAAUCAUCAUGCCCCUUAUGUCUUGGGCUUCACGCAUGCUACAAUGGCCGGUACAGAGGGUUGCGAUAUCGUGAGGUGGAGCGAAUCCCUUAAAGCUGGUCUCAGUUCGGAUCGGGGUCUGCAACUCGACCUCGUGAAGUCGGAGUCGCUAGUAAUCGCGGAUCAGCAUUGCCGCGGUGAAUACGUUCCCGGGCCUUGUACACACCGCCCGUCACGUCACGAAAGUUGGUAACACCCGUAGCUCGUGGCCUAACCAUUUUGGGGGGAGCGGUCGAAGGUGGGGCUGGCGAUUGGGACGAAGUCGUAACAAGGUAGCCGUACCGGAAGGUGCGGCUGGAUCACCUCCUUUCUAAGGA
rnacentral:rRNA from 1 species